GCCAGGGUGGCGUAGUGGUUAGUGCAUCUGCCUAGGGAGCAGAAGACCUGUGUUCGAAUCCCGGCUUUGGCA